rnacentral:rRNA from 1 species
AUUGAACGCUGGCGGAAUGCUUUACACAUGCAAGUCGAACGGCAGCACGGACUUCGGUCUGGUGGCGAGUGGCGAACGGGUGAGUAAUGUAUCGGAACGUGCCCAGUCGUGGGGGAUAACGUAGUGAAAAUUACGCUAAUACCGCAUACGAUCUAUGGAUGAAAGCGGGGGACCGCAAGACCUCGCGCGAUUGGAGCGGCCGAUAUCAGAUUAGGUAGUUGGUGGGGUAAAGGCCCACCAAGCCAACGAUCUGUAGCUGGUCUGAGAGGACGACCAGGCACGAUGGAACUGAGACACGGUCCAGACUCCGACGGGAGGCAGCAGUGGGGAAUUUUGGACAAUGGGCGAAAGCCUGAUCCAGCCAUUCCGCGUGCAGGAUGAAGGCCCUCGGGUUGUAAACUGCUUUUGUACAGAACGAAAAGGUUUCUACUAAUACUAGGAGCUCAUGACGGUACUGUAAGAAUAAGCACCGGCUAACUACGUGCCAGCCGCCGCGGUAA